GAAUUUCAUAUGGAGAGCUUUUUCUCUUGCUUGGCGCUACUGCUUCCCCCCUCGUUUGGGUUCAAUAUGUGAUUCCAGAGUAGUCUUCUUCCUAAUUUAGGUGUUCAAAAUCGAAUUUAGACGUCGAUUUGACCAUUUUUAGGGUGAUAUUCCUCGUAAUUUCUUUAAAUUUUGAAAAACAUUAGUAGGUGAUAAUUAAAGUUAUCUAUUGAGUGAUUAAGUUUUGAUUGCAAGGGUAUGCAAACUAUCAAUUAUGCUUCAAUUUCAAACUAGUUGAGCUUGGCUAUAUAAGUGUCCUGUAUCAGUUUUACUUUAUUCAGACCCUUUUCAUUUGAUGUGCAGUAUGAAUAAGUUGAUGGUUAAGUCUCAUAAUUUUGACCUUAGAAUUGAAAUACUUGUAAUUAUUUGAAAUACUUGAAGUAAAGUCCUUCCAAAGGUACAAGUGAAAUUGGAUGAGAUCAGUAUUGCGGUCUUUGACUUGAUACUGCUGAAGUGAGGUUGUCUUAGAAGAAGGAGAUUAGGUGUGGUUAGAUUAAGUCACUUCCAAAAAGUUCAAGUUAUUGUGAUCAGAAUUAGAGUUAGACGAAAUCACAUUUUAAUGGCCAUUUCUGCAUCACGAAUCAUGUUGUCUUAUAUGUGAUGGGUGAUAGGGUGGCAGCUGCCAUAUUGUUUGAAUGGGUUUCCGAUCCAGUUGAUGUUCCGACAUCCCAAAUCGAGGUGGCUCUAAACUCAGGUUUCCUACCUCUCUAGUUACAGAGAGAGGAGAGGGGCGUUGAAGCCUUAAUUCGAGCUAGAAAUCUCGCUAGAGAACUAGCCAUAUCAAUCUAGAUUCUAGAUGGUGUAAAUACUAGCUUGUGCGCACCCUGAGUAUUCCACCAGGUACCUCCUAUCUUCCAACAACGUAGAUACUAAUUAGAUGUAGACAAAUGGAAAGAAAUCACCUAAUAUUUUUUGCCUAUGCUGGUUGUGACAAUCUUAUUCUGCAAAACUAGAUAUUGGUUUUCCUAGAAAGAAAAAGAAUCAGACUUGCAACUGCCCUCCGAAACCCACUAUGCCAAGAACCCCAUCGAUCCAGAUGGGAUAGUUUGUUUUUACAUGCAUUUUAGCUGCAAAACGAAGAGUGAAAUUUUCUUGAGAAUCAACUCCAAUCUCCCACCCAUGCUCUGUGCGCAUACGAGCAGUUUGUUUAAUAAUUUGUUGAGAUUUAUCUUCUUUUGUUGGGUUAAUAGUUUUUGUUCUUCCAGAUGAAGCAAAGGGGUCUGACAUUGUGUUAGAAGCGAUACUGGAGGCAGAAGUGGCAAAUAAUGCCAAAGAGUUCUUCUCGCAGCCACCAAACCAAUUAAAAAGUGAAUGAAGAGGUUAUAUUCCCUUUCCUCUGCAUGAACAUUGAUUGCUUUUUAUUCACGAGUACACACAUAUAGUUCAGUUUAGUUGUUCGGCUAAACAUGGUAGCCGACAUAGUCUAAUAACUAACCUAAUUGUAUGUGCAUUAUGUCUUUGUAGUUAUGUGAAAAUAAACUUAUAGGUAUGAUCUUUGAUAUGUAUAUGCUCUUAUUCCAGGUACAUCUGAAGAAGAUUUGCGCCAUUAGAGGUCAGAAAUCAGCUUCAUGCCAAGGGAGCCUGAUGAAAGAUUGCUAAAGACUGAAUGAUUUUAGCCUAAUUCGAGUCUCUUGUUGUGGUUUUUGAGCCAUGAUACCUCGUUUGUUCAGAUAUCAUAGGCAUCUAAAGAACAUAAGACCCGUGUUGCCACAAGGGAAACUACUCAUCUUGUUUGACUGAUGGUUUUCUGCAACCAGUUCUACCUAUUUCUUAACCCUUCUAAAUGACCCGUGUUGACAGAUGCUUGGAUUUUAGAGUUCUUUCAUGUUUGUUAUAAUUUCUGAACUUUCCCUCUUCUCCGGCCAAGCCGUAUAUGUUGCAUAUGAACUUCUUUGCAAUAUAAUUGGCAGAAAACUGUUGAACUAAUAUAGUAGUGUUAUCCCUCAAUACUAGUGUCAGAUAUAACUGUUAGAUGGUGUAAAUAAUCAAAA
rnacentral:lncRNA from 1 species